UCCCUGGUGGUCCAGCGGUUAAGACACUGCACUCCUGAUGCAAGGGACCCGGGUUUGAUCCCUGCUCAGGGAA
rfam:TPA: Bos taurus chromosome 19, whole genome shotgun sequence.